GAGUAACACGUGACUAACCUACCCUCGAGCGGGGAAUAACUUCGGGAAACCGAGGCUAAUACCGCAUAACAUCUUCUGGCUGAGAUGCCGGUUGAUCAAACCAGCAAUGGGCUUGAGGAGGGGGUCGCGGCUGAUUAGCUAGUUGGUGAGAUAACGGCUCACCAAGGCGAUGAUCAGUAGCCGGCCUGAGAGGGCGCACGGCCACACUGGAACUGAAACACGGUCCAGACUCCUACGGGAGGCAGCAGUGGGGAAUUUUGCGCAAUGGGGGAAACCCUGACGCAGCAACGCCGCGUGGAGGAUGAAGUCCCUUGGGACGUAAACUCCUUUCGAUCGGGACGAUAAUGACGGUACCGGAAGAAGAAGCCCCGGCUAACUUCGUGCCAGCAGCCGCGGUAAUACGAGGGGGGCAAGCGUUGUUCGGAAUUAUUGGGCGUAAAGGGCGCGUAGGCGGUGCGGUAAGUCUGGUGUGAAAUCUCCGGGCUCAACUCGGAGCUUGCAUCAGAAACUGCCGUGCUGGAGUGUGGGAGAGGUGCGUGGAAUUCCCGGUGUAGCGGUGAAAUGC
rnacentral:rRNA from 1 species